UACAGAGGUCUCAAGCGUUGUUCGGAUUCAUUGGGCGUAAAGGGUGUGUAGGCGGCGCCGUAAGUCGGGUGUGAAAUUUCGGAGCUUAACUCCGAAACUGCAUUCGAUACUGCGGUGCUUGAGGACUGGAGAGGAGACUGGAAUUCCUGGUGUAGCGGUGAAAUGCGCAGAUAUCAGGAGGAACACCGGUGGCGAAGGCGGGUCUCUGGGCCGAUACUGACGCUGAGGAGCGAAAGCGUGGGGAGCGAACAGG
rnacentral:rRNA from 1 species